rnacentral:lncRNA from 1 species
UAAAUUUGAUCCUAAAGUGUGACAUCGAGGAUAAUUUUGAACUUAACUGAACAAAAGCAGAGUUUGUAGUAGACAUUUUCUCUAGUUCCAUACUUUUGCGUUAUUCUUUUUUUAAUUUUUUUUUAUUUGUAAACAACCUUUCAGUGUUGCAGUUGAAAAAGAAGCAUAUUUGUUCGUUGAAAAAAAUGGACAAACAAAACUGAGAGAGGAAUAUAUUUGUGUGUG